rnacentral:misc_RNA from 1 species
GAUGAAGAACGCAGCGAAAUGCGAUACGUAAUGUGAAUUGCAGAAUUCAGCGAAUCAUCGAAUCUUUGAACGCAUAUUGCGCUCUCUGGUAUUCCGGAGAGCAUGCUUGUUUGAGUAUCAGUAAACACCUCAACUUCCAUAUCUUUUUUGAAAUGGGAGUUGGACUUGAGUGAUCCCAACGCUUUUCCUCACCGAAAAGUGGCGGGUUACUUGAAAUGCAGGUGCAGCUGGACUUUUCUCUGAGCUAUAAGCAUAUCUAUUUAGUCUGCCUAAAAAACAGAUUAUUACCUUUGCUGCAGCUAACAUAAAGGAGAUUAGUUCUUGUGCUGACUGAUGCAGGAUUCACAAAGACGGCUUCGGCCGACUUUGUAAACUCGAUCUCAAAUCAAGUAAGACUACCCGCUGAACUUAAGCAUAUCAAUAAGCGGAGGA